rnacentral:rRNA from 1 species
CGGCGGACGGGUGAGUAACGCGUGGGUAACCUGCCUCAUACAGGGGGAUAACAGUUGGAAACGGCUGCUAAUACCGCAUAAGCGCACAGUACCGCAUGGUACCGUGUGAAAAACUCCGGUGGUAUGAGAUGGACCCGCGUCUGAUUAGCUAGUUGGUGGGGUAACGGCCUACCAAGGCGACGAUCAGUAGCCGACCUGAGAGGGUGACCGGCCACAUUGGGAUUGAGACACGGCCCAA